AUGUAAUUCCUACAAUGUUAAUACACUAGAUCUCAUUAGAACUCUCCAAUUACACGUGCUUGUGAUAUAGUAGUAUUGGGAUGGGUGACCUCCCAGAAAGUCUUAGUGUUUUACAUG
rnacentral:rRNA from 1 species